UUCCAGACUCCUACUGGAGGCAGCAGUGGGGGAUAUUGGACAAUGGGGGAAACCCUGAUCCAGCGACGCCGCGUGAGUGAAGAAGUAUUUCGGUAUGUAAAGCUCUAUCAGCAGGGAAGAAAGAAAUGACGGUACCUGAGUAAGAAGCCCCGGCUAACUACGUGCCAGCAGCCGCGGUAAUACGUAGGGGGCAAGCGUUAUCCGGAAUUACUGGGUGUAAAGGGAGCGUAGACGGUAAUGCAAGUCUGGAGUGAAAGGCGGGGGCCCAACCCCCGGACUGCUCUGGAAACUGUGUAACUGGAGUGCAGGAGAGGCAGGCGGAAUUCCUAGUGUAGCGGUGAAAUGCGUAGAUAUUAGGAGGAACACCAGUGGCGAAGGCGGCCUGCUGGACUGUAACUGACGUUGAGGCUCGAAAGCGUGGGGAGCAAACAGGAUUAGAUACCCCUGUA
rnacentral:rRNA from 1 species